UGCGUAGGUGGAUUGAUAAGUCAGCGGUGAAAGUUUGCAGCUUAACUGUAAAAUUGCCGUUGAAACUGUCAGUCUUGAGUGCAAAUGAGGUAGGCGGAAUGUGUUGUGUAGCGGUGAAAUGCUUAGAUAUAACACAGAACUCCGAUUGCGAAGGCAGCUUACUGGGAUGCAACUGACACUGAUGCACGAAAGCGUGGGGAUCAAACA
rnacentral:rRNA from 1 species